ACGGGAGGCAGCAGUGGGGAAUAUUGCACAAUGGAGGAAACUCUGAUGCAGCGACGCCGCGUGAGUGAUGAAGUAUUUCGGUAUGUAAAGCUCUAUCAGUAGGGAAGAUAAUGACGGUACCUAACUAAGAAGCACCGGCUAAAUACGUGCCAGCAGCCGCGGUAAUACGUAUGGUGCAAGCGUUAUCCGGAUUUACUGGGUGUAAAGGGUGCGUAGGUGGUUUGGCAAGCCAGAAGUGAAAACCCGGGGCUCAACCCCGUGGAUUGCUUUUGGAACUGUUGAACUAGAGUGCAGGAGGGGUAAGUGGAAUUCCCAGUGUAGCGGUGAAAUGCGUAGAUAUUGGGAAGAACACCGGUGGCGAAGGCGGCUUACUGGACUGUAACUGACACUGAGGCUCGAAAGCGUGGGGAGCAAACAGGAUUAGAUACCCUGGUA
rnacentral:rRNA from 1 species